AGAGUUUGAUCCUGGCUCAGGACGAACGCUGGCGGCGUGCUUAACACAUGCAAGUCGAGCGAUGAAGCUUCCUUCGGGAAGUGGAUUAGCGGCGGACGGGUGAGUAACACGUGGGUAACCUGCCUCAAAGUGGGGGAUAGCCUUCCGAAAGGAAGAUUAAUACCGCAUAAUAUAAGAGAAUCGCAUGAUUUUCUUAUCAAAGAUUUAUUGCUUUGAGAUGGACCCGCGGCGCAUUAGCUAGUUGGUAAGGUAACGGCUUACCAAGGCAACGAUGCGUAGCCGACCUGAGAGGGUGAUCGGCCACAUUGGAACUGAGACACGGUCCAGACUCCUACGGGAGGCAGCAGUGGGGAAUAUUGCGCAAUGGGGGAAACCCUGACGCAGCAACGCCGCGUGGGUGAUGAAGGUCUUCGGAUUGUAAAGCCCUGUUUUCUAGGACGAUAAUGACGGUACUAGAGGAGGAAGCCACGGCUAACUACGUGCCAGCAGCCGCGGUAAUACGUAGGUGGCGAGCGUUGUCCGGAUUUACUGGGCGUAAAGGGUGCGUAGGCGGAUGUUUAAGUGGGAUGUGAAAUCCCCGGGCUUAACCUGGGGGCUGCAUUCCAAACUGGAUAUCUAGAGUGCAGGAGAGGAAAGCGGAAUUCCUAGUGUAGCGGUGAAAUGCGUAGAGAUUAGGAAGAACACCAGUGGCGAAGGCGGCUUUCUGGACUGUAACUGACGCUGAGGCACGAAGGCGUGGGUAGCAAACAGGAUUAGAUCCCCUGGUAGUCCACGCCGUAAACGAUGGAUACUAGGUGUAGGGGGUAUCAACUCCCCCUGUGCCGCAGUUAACACAAUAAGUAUCCCGCCUGGGGAGUACGGUCGCAAGAUUAAAACUCAAAGGAAUUGACGGGGGCCCGCACAAGCAGCGGAGCAUGUGGUUUAAUUCGAAGCAACGCGAAGAACCUUACCUGGACUUGACAUCCCUUGCAUAGCCUAGAGAUACGGUAAGCGCGUCGCGG
rnacentral:rRNA from 1 species